rnacentral:rRNA from 1 species
AGAGUUUGAUCCUGGCUCAGGACGAACGCUGGCGGUGUGCCUCACACAUGCAAGUCGAACGGGGUAGCAAUACCUAGUGGCGGACGGGUGAGUAACACGUGGGAAUCUGCCUUUAACUGGGGGAUAACUGACCGAAAGGUUAGCUAAUACCGCAUACGCAGUAAUGUAAAAGGAGCAAUCCGGUUGAAGAUGAGCCCGCG